rnacentral:rRNA from 1 species
GAUGAACGCUGGCGGCGUGCCUAAUACAUGCAAGUCGAGCGAACAGAUGAGGAGCUUGCUCCUCUGACGUUAGCGGCGGACGGGUGAGUAACACGUGGAUAACCUACCUAUAAGACUGGGAUAACUUCGGGAAACCGGAGCUAAUACCGGAUAAUAUAUUGAACCGCAUGGUUCAAUAGUGAAAGACGGUUUUGCUGUCACUUAUAGAUGGAUCCGCGCCGCAUUAGCUAGUUGGUAAGGUAACGGCUUACCAAGGCGACGAUGCGUAGCCGACCUGAGAGGGUGAUCGGCCACACUGGAACUGAAACACGGUCCAGACUCCUACGGGAGGCAGCAGUAGGGAAUCUUCCGCAAUGGGCGAAAGCCUGACGGAGCAACGCCGCGUGAGUGAUGAAGGUCUUCGGAUCGUAAAACUCUGUUAUUAGGGAAGAACAAAUGUGUAAGUAACUAUGCACGUCUUGACGGUACCUAAUCAGAAAGCCACGGCUAACUACGUG